AUGUAUUGUAGGGAAGCUAUGUCAGUAGCAGGGCGGUUCAUGAUAACAGUUUUAUGGUUUCAAUAUAGGGGCCUGUUUCUAAACUAUAUUAGGAUGGACUUAGAACAUGUUUGCAGUCUUUAUAGUGAACUAAUUUUGAGGUUUUUUACAUGCAGGGCAAUGCGUAUGUUUAUUUAUGUAGGUUGCGGGUCUGUGUGGGAAUUUUAA